rnacentral:misc_RNA from 1 species
GGGAGAUCGCUGAAUAACUGGAAAUUUGAAGACGAGCACAACCCGUGAUCAACAUCCACUAAUGACAUGUAUCUUCAUCUAUAAUCUUUGAUCAUGCAAUUAGUCGAUGCUUUUGCAGUUCACAUGCAUCUACAGAGAGCUCAAGGUAGGACGCGGAGUGAAGAGGUAGACCUCCUCAAAGCUCCCCCGAACCUUCCCAGCAUAAGAGGGACUGUAAUUGUAGAUGAGGUUGUCAAGUACUUUGCUGGUCGCCGGCUUAUUAUUAGAAGAUUUUCUAGCUUCACUGAUAAAAUAGUUGGCAACAUGUUGACUCACUUGGAUUGCAUCCUCGGUAUGUGGAAUCUGUGAUGAACCCCACUCGAAAACAUUUUUCUCUGGGUGCCACUGGAGUGCAGUUAUGGGAUAGUGUUGUGCUUGAACACUGGAGACAUAGACCUUGUUUUUCUUAUCAACACUAGUUGUCAAUAUCUUGAAAAAGCCACACAGGUCAUUAUUUGCUUGAAGCCUUUCUGGUGAUAUACCAAAACGAUGAUUUUGCAUCACAAGACAGUGUGUAGUCAUCUUCUUUAGCAGCACAGGUGGAAACCUUCCAAAAACUGUUCCUUCAAAUUUUAUAUUUUCUACAAAUUGUACUGUAGACGCUUGAUGCAAUGCACUGAAUUCCUCAAGAAUGUUAUUGUCCUUGGAGAUGAUCAUUGUUAAAAGUUCAAAACCCAAGCAGAUGGCAAGAAGAGGAAAAUGCUCACCCGCGUCAUUCUUCUCCAGAAC